CGGACUACAGGGGUUUCUAAUCCUGUUUGAUACCCACACUUUCGAGCAUGAACGUCAGUUACGGAUUAGUGUGCUGCCUUCGCAAUCGGAGUUCUUCGUGAUAUCUAAGCAUUUCACCGCUACACCACGAAUUCCGCACACCUCAACUGCACUCAAGACAUCCAGUAUCAACUGCAAUUUUACGGUUGAGCCGCAAACUUUCACAACUGACUUAAACAUCCAUCUACGCUCCCUUUAAACCCAAUAAAUCCGGAUAACGCUCGGAUCCUCCGUAUUACCGCGGCUGCUGGCACGGAGUUAGCCGAUCCUUAUUCAUACGGUACAUACAAAAAGGCACACGUGCCUAACUUUAUUCCCGUAUAAAAGAAGUUUACAACCCAUAGGGCAGUCAUCCUUCACG
rnacentral:misc_RNA from 1 species